GGCUCUUUUCUUCCUCUCCCUUUUCCUCCAAGCCGCCGCCAGCGUCUUCUUCCUCCCGAAGCAAAGCCUUCCCCUUUGCUUUUCUUCUUGCUCCCAAUCUCCAUCGUCCUCCCGAUUCCUUCUCUCAUAGGCGCCAUCUCUUUUCCUCUCCCGGGGCUUCCUCCCUCCCUUGCAGGUCUCUCUCCCGCGCGCCCUCGUCCUCUCUCGUUUGCCGCGCGCCGCCUGCUGCCGCGAGCUGCUCCGCCCGCGACCACCUCGCCGCGAGCCUCACGAGCGCCUCCACUUCGCCUGGCUGCCCGCGCCGCUUUGCUCCUCCUUCCUCCAGCAGGCGCCGCCUCCUCGCUGUUGCUCUCUUCGUCAUCGACCUCGUCGCCGGCAACGCCCCCACCUGCAGCGCUCCCUACCAACCUUCUCUGCCUCCAGUGCCUGCUCGUCGCCAAGCUCUUUGCCGCCCUCUGCUUCCCCGCCGGUGCCGCCUCCCCUCGCUCCCCGCGCCGUCGACCUCGCCUCCUCCUGCUCCGCCUCCCCUUCCCCAAGCGCUGCCUCGCCUGCUGCCUCCUGGCCGCCUGCCAUCGCCCAAGCCCCUGCUGGCCAGCGCCUCUGCUGCUGUACUUGGCUUUGUGUUGUUGAUGUGGUGCUGUUGUCGCUGCUGUGCGUGUGCUUCGCUGCGCAGCUGCCCAAGUCCUUGCUGUGCGCCGCGACGACCGAUGACCGACGAACCCGGAGACGGAGCUGCGGACCACUACUUCGACUACGGCAACUACAUCGCCCACGUGUACGACUACUUCUUCUACUUCGUUGACAUCGCGACGCACGUGUCCAAGUCUUCAGUUCCUACGACGAUGACUACUUCGUGUUCUUCCAGGAUUCUUGCUCAAUUCCGGGCAAUUGAGUACUCCAGGCAAGCAGCCAUUCCUUGACCAUGUUGUUUAUACCCAAUGCCUCCCUUUCAUUCUUGCACUAAGUUACGUUCUCAGUCUUGUCACGAUGCCUUCAGGAUUGCAUAGCUUUUAGUCGGCUCUACUCAAUUGCCUUUUGUUCUAUUACUUGUCCGAUUACCAUGUCACAUGUUUGUUAUUGCGCUACUUGGUCAUUAGAAGUCUUGCUUA